CCCGCCCGUGAGACGCAUCUGGAGGAGAGUGUUCACAGCGGCUGAGGUCUCAUUGGGUUCCUAGCCCCUGCUCACCGCCCUGCUGGCCGGGGCAUUCUGGCGCCCGAGCGUGGGGCAAAGAAGCCUUCUGGACCUAGAAACUCGCUGAUCGAGGGGGUAGGCCUACCCGAAUUCACUGAGUCACCACGGCCGAGGGGGUAACGCAAAGACUCGCAGAGAUCACCAUGGAGAUACCCGACCGUGAGAUGCAUCUGGAGGAGAGUGUUCACAGCGGCUGAGAAAAACAACUCAACAAUUUGAAGAUGGCUCCAAAGAAGUCCAGCCGUGUGAUACUUCCUUGUCUUCUCUACUUGCCCCUAUUAUUGGCCAUUCCCACACAUGCAGCUCUUGUUUAUCAGUGGGAAUUUCAGGUUAGAGAGACACAAACUAAGGACUCACACACCACAGUCUGAAACAUUGGCAUGGCAUGCUGUCCUCCUAAAGGUUGCCGGGAGACUGUUGUUAUUAAUAUUUCUCCCAAAACUAUAUCUAGCACCUAUCGGCAUUAUGCCUGCUUUCCCUUUGAUAAUAAAGACAGGAGCGGAUGCCUUACUGAUGUCUCCACUUAUGGAGGCUGCCGCUACUGGUCCUGCAUUAUUCAUGAUGCCCACUCGCCAAAAACCCGCACUGGAAAGCCCAGUAUUCUCAGAUUACAAGGGUCCCAGUUUACUAUUCAGAUUUCUGAUCCUUUGAAUACCCGCUGGCAAGAGGGAGUUAUAGGUAAAUUAUAUAAUGAUGGAUAUUCCAGAUAUCCUACUGGAACUAUACAC